GCGCCAAAAAUCACACUUGCUGAAUUAGGGCUUCUAAGAAGAAUCUAUCUAUCAAGAAAUGGGGGAUUUUAGAGAGCAGAUUGAUGAGAUCAAUGGCCUUUUACUAUCAGAUGACAAAGCUCGGGCAUACUCGAAUCUACUACAAUUGCAGGAAACAUCAACCGCCGAUUCUUCCGCCGUGGAGGCACUCGCCGGUUCAUCUAGCACCAUCGUAUCCUCCCUCGUCGCGGAUAUAUCCUAUAAUGAUGAAGAAAUAGCUGCACAGGCUUUGAAGUGUUUGGGUUUUAUGAUUUACCACCCAGCUGUUGUGGCUUCCAUCGGAGGGAGUCAUUCAAAAUUUUGAGCUUUGUGAUGUUUUGCAUCGAUUUUUCUCUUUUUAAUAUUGUGUUGAUUUUAGAAAAAGUAAAGAAAUAUUGCACAGCCAUACUUACCAUUCCAGCAGUUCAUAGAAAGAGAAGAACAUCAACACAUUUGUUGAGGCGUGAGAGAAAUGGAGGUGUAUUGCAAAAAUGGAACCUCGUUGCUUAAUAGCAAGAGUUUAUUGUAUUAAUUUAACUAUGGGAAUCUUUACUGGAGAGAUUGGCGUGAGACUAUGAGAUGAAUGUUCUUUUUUUCUGUAUGCUAUAGGUUGCGAUGCUGAUGUACUAAUUGAAUCCCUGGUUAAGGUCAUCACAAAAACUAAAAUAAAGACUGUAUGCAAUUUAGGCGUGUGGUGUAUAUCAAUCCAACAAUUGAGUUCAUCCAUGUUGGAUCAACACUUGCAUUCUUUGCUAAGGGCAGUUACAUAUGCCCUGGACAAUCCAAUCGGUUCACUUUCAAUAACUUUUGAGGCAAUGCAGGCUGUGGUGAAGUUGGUAUCUUCGUUGACAGAACAAAUGAGAGAGACAUCAAGUUUGUGGAUUCCACCAAUUUAUAGAAGGCUUGUCAGUCUUGAUAAAAGAGAGAGAUAAGUCAGAAAGAUGUUUGCUGAAGAUUGUGCCCUUAAUAUUUCCUCCGCUGGUUUCUCUCUCUAAGGCACUUGCUGUGGAUAUGAAGAAGAAAUUGCUCGGCGCUAUUAAAGAGUUGUUGUGCCAAGGGAUGAAGAUUCCUUGUCUGCAAGCAUGGAGAUGGUUUAUUCGUUUGCUUCGGCCACAUGCUUUGAAAACUAAACAUUUGGUCAAUGAGAUGUUGGAAAUUCUGAAGCUUACUUUCUCAGAUUUUGACUCACAAGUUCAGAUUGCAUCCCUGGUAUAAUGUUGAAUCAUAGAGAGUUACAAAUUUCUUUUGCCUUAGGAUUGUCUUUUCAAUACUGGUAACUGUGAGUUUUUUUAAAUGGAUCAGCUAAUAUCUUUUGCCAUAUUCUUUUGUUUAAAUAAAAUUUGAUAUGAUGUAAACGUUUAAACUUCCAUUAGGUCUUUUCAUCUGCUUGUUCAUAGGGUAGUGCAUAUAUGUUGAGAUUUGUUUUGUCAAAAGUUAUUAGCAUGUUUUUCAUCAGCAUGAUUCACAUUUAUAAUCAUUUCUUGCCUUCCCGUUUGGCUUUCAGUAAACUUAUUACUAUCUUCCCCAGAUUAUCUUUUGAAUAACCCAAUUGGUUGAAGCAGUUUCAUGUGUAGGAAAUUAGUUUUAACAUAAAGAGGAACACUACCUAUAUACUAGUUUCUUUUGUUUUAAAUAACUUAUCUUCUUUCUCACAAUCAGAAUUAUCUUUUGCAAUAGUACAGGGAAGAUUAGCUUCUUUUGUUGGAGUUGGCUGGUGUGGCGUGGCCCAUGUGAGUAGAUUUUUAAAUAGGAUCUCAAUUUCUUUCUUGCUCCUUGCUGGUCGCCUGGGAGGGCCUCAUUGAUGCUUUAGUUGAGCUUGUAGUUCUCAACAACACCGAGGCUGAAGCUGAGAGACAUUUAAAAAAGAUAAAGCUUAUAAUGGCACCCCUCAUAGGAAUUAUGUCAAGUAAAUGUGAUGUAUCUGUUCAGGCUUCCUGCUUGAGCACAUGGUCUUAUCUACUACACAAACUUGAAGAUUCUGUUUAACUGUCAGUCACUGAUCAUAACAGUCUGGGAGCCUAUUAUAGAAGUGGUCUUCCAAGCUGGACCAGAUAAUAAGAACAUCUGGUUGUGGAAUUUCUGUCUGGAUCACUUACAUUCUCUACUACGUGGAAUAAAUCUGCAAGCAUCUGGCAAUCUACAUAACAAGGAACCACUACUUUUACCAGCUAAAAGUUCCGUAAACGGUCAUAUGGGUAUUGAGAAGUCCCAAUUGAGACAUUAUCCAUUAAAAUGUUCACCUUGGAAGCUUUCUCAACUGGAGUUCUUCAUUAAAACAAUAACCAUCAUUGUAGAUCGAGGAUCAAAUGAGAGUGUUACACCUGAAUUUAGAGAACUGGCAAGUAAUGCAGCUCUAAGGUUAUUCGGAUGUCUGCUAGAAGCAGUUCAGAGAUCUUUCAGAUGUGUAUCCAUUACAUAUGACAAGGUUAUGCAAUCUGUUAAUACUUUAUUCGGAUUCCUGGAGAAAAUGUGUGAUAACAUGACUUCAGAAGUUGAUAACAACUACUGUGAUCCUCACAUAUGCCUUCAAUUUGUAAAGAUGGUGACUGAGAGAUUAGAACCCUCCAUUCUUGAGUCUCCUCUCUACAAGGUGGGAUUAGAGCUUAAGUGCAUUAAAAACAUGGAACUUGCUACUGAGUCUACACGUGGGUUGGUGGCAGAUAUCUGCUUUAGGGGUCUCGACGACAAGGUUCUUCCAGUUGUAUAUCUGAGUAACAACUAUUUUUCUGUAGUUGCAAAGUCAUUAUCAAAUGCCCCUGAGUGUGAAUCUGUGUUUAAGCAUAUGCAAGGAUAUCUGAAGUUUUUGUUAACUUCAUACAAUCCUCAUGAAAUUCUUCAUGCGCUUACUUGUUCACUUUAUAAGAACAUCAGGCUUAACACCUUACAGAGCUGGGUAGUUGUAGCUAACUGUUUUAAAGAAUUGAUAGAUGGCAAAAAGGAUCCGUCACUAUUGAGAAUGGAGACUGACAACAUUGGUUACUCUAUUUUAUUGCGUCUCUUGUCAUAUCCAUUUGCUUUGCUGUCAGUCUCUGAUAUAAAUCCUGAGGUCCAGACUGUCGUGGAAGCAUGGGAUUUGCUUUAUGUGUCUGUUGACAGAGCUUCACAAUGUCUCCAUCUCCCUGCCAAGAGUUUCUCUAUAGAUCUUUGUGCAGUACUAAAUGGACUCAUCGAUCAAAUUAAAUCAGUUGACACCAGAAAUGAGCUGAAAGAAAAUAAAUGCAGUGAUGAAUUUGUUCUACUCUACGGGAAUGUUAUGAUAUGUGUCAUGAAGCAACUGGUUUGGGGUAUGAGGUCGGAAGCCAGACAUUAUAUGGAUUCUGAAUUCAGAAAAUUCAGCUUCACUAGCUGGAUGUUAUUAGCAGCUCGGAAGAGGAAUAAAUGGUGAAACAAAGAAUGAAGCUCGGAUGGUGAAAAAGCUGUCAGAAAGCUCUCAAAAUGAGUCACCCGGUCGAGUGUAUUGUUUGCCUAAUAAUUCCACCCGGCCGGGUAUGAUUUUCAGAAUACAAAAAUUCCAGGAAGUCCUCAAAAUUGGUCACCCGGCCAGGUGAAUUUUAUGCCUAAUAAUUCACCCGGUCGGGUGAAUUAAUUCUAACCGCAAUAUUGCAGUUUCAUGUGGCAGAAAAAGAAAGGAGAGAUAGUGGAUGGGACGGUUUUUGGGGAGAGAGAAAAGAAUUAGUGGUUGGAAAAAGGAGAAAAAAGGGGAAAGGAUUGAAAAAGGUGUCAGGGGAGAAGAGAAUAAGGAAGAAAGAGAUUGGAGAGAGAGGGAGUUGACGGCGGGAAAGAGAAAGGAGAGAAAGAGAGGAAGAAGAGAGGAGGAAGGUCCGGCCUCCUCUCCGACGAUCCGACUCCAAAUCCCAACUCCACUCAUCAAGAGCUUGAAUCCUACGGUUUUAAUUGCAAAUUCAUCAUGUGUUUAGGCUAAGCUUCCUUUGUUGCUCCAAGUUGUAAUCUAGGCUGGUUUAUGAAGCUUUUCUGGAAGAAUAUACACAGAACUGGCCAAUCCCUUCUCUCUGUUUCUUCAAGGCCGUAUCAAGCCCAUUGCUCGAAUGGCUAUCUGAAAUGCAUCUUCUCGACAGCAAUUCUAGUCAUAAUCUUCAGAUUUUAUGGUCUCAAAUGCUGAAAUGUUUGCAGCAAGGUCAGCCAUCACGAUUCUUCAUUCCUCAAUUUCCAAGCGCCGCUCCUUGAAAGAACUCUCGAUCACCCUAAUUCAGUCAUCUCCGCGGCCACAACUAACUUCUGGAAUUCAACUUAUGGCGUCCAAAGCAAGCUUGAAUUUCCUAAAGCCUUAGUUCCGACAUUGGACAAGCUGUCCAGAAACGGUAAAUUAAAAAUUUGUAGCAGAAAUCACUGUGUGGAAGACUGCACCAACAGCCUAGACAGAUACAAGGUGAUGAAUACUCUAAAGAAAUGCUCCAAGAGAGUUGAAAUAUUGAACAAUCCUGUUCACGGAUCAAAGGGCUGUGAUAAUAUCAAUCUGGGAGCAAAAAGAAAACGCGGUGAACUGACAGAACACGAGAAAGAGGUGAGACGAGCACAACAAGGACGCACAAAGGAUUCCAACGGGCAUGGGCCCUUGUAUCCAAACUUACAGUGCUCUCGAUUUCUCUCAAGGAAACGAAGAAUCUCAAGAUAGCCAGAGAUGAUGAGAGAAGUUGCUCAUGUGAAUUUUGAGUGAUUUUUUAGUUUCCAGGCAGUUUACUUCAAGCUGUACUGUAUAUGAUAGCACCAGACAACUGCAAUCUGUUAAAUUAGAUGAGUUUUAGUAAACUAAUACUAGUUAGAUAGGUGUUGUAAGUUGUAGUUGCAAGUUAUAAGUCUUUAUCCAUACAAAAAGGUUUCAUUAGUGGGAUGCUUCUUUCUACUUAUUUAACUUAAUUAUACAUAUUGUA